rnacentral:rRNA from 1 species
AUGUUGCGAAGUAGUUAUGCCAAAGCUGGUCCGCAUGAGUUUUCAAAUUACAUACGAACACGCUACCCAAGCAUAUUAGCACAGAAGCUUGGUAUACUUCUACGGGAGCAGAACGCCCGCGGCCUAGCAAACAUAUCAGAAAUGCAUCAAGCAUUCCAGUCCAAUAUGUUUAAUUUCACAGACAAGCUUAUGGCGUGCUUAGCAGAGAAUUGCACUUGUUGUAAGACACAUGGGAACAAAACAUGCAUAUUGGGUAAUGAAGGAACAAAUACUUGUGAUGCACCCCCUCAUGUAUCAACAGAUCAAACUCAAUUCAGCACCCCACUAGUCAGCAAGACUGGACCCCGACUACCAGCACCAGGCAACCCUGGAGCAUGCCUGUCUGUCAAUAGUUUCGUGUCUAGUAAAAGGGAUGGCAGUUUAUCAUCAAGCAUACAGUCGGGCACAUCAAAGGAAACAUGUUCACGCAAGACAGAGACCGCCCUCGCUGCAACACCAACAUGUGGGCAAAACCCACUCAAUCAGAUUCCCAUAUCCCAGGAUGCAACCGUCAAGGAAAUUGCGAGCAAAAAUGCUGCUUUUUAUGAUGACCUAACAUCCAUCUUGGUUACUUACUAUGCUGAGAUACGUCCAGCCCCUGGCUUCAUAUUGUUUGGAUCAACCAUCGAUGGAGCACAUGUGAAGAUCGAUCUACCUCAAUGCAACUUUGGAAGAGAUCCAUGGGUCGCUGGAUUAGUCUUAGUACCACCAAUCCCAACUGUACUCAGGGCCAUAAAAGACUGGAUGAGUGCAACCUCCAUGCUAAACCUCGAGAGGAAAGAUCACAUUCCCUGUGCAGUAAUCUUCUUAUGGAAUGCUCACAUGCAUUUUUCAUCUUCUGGUUUAUUAACCGCAUCUUCCCAAUCAAACAGUUGCAGGGAAUGGAUCGUGCAUCCUAAGCCAAGACUCAUAACAUUAGAGGGUAUUGAAAUCCAGCGUUAG